CCGGCCGUCUCCAUGGCAACCGGCUGGCCUGGUCCAGAGUUCACCGCCAACCGGAUCCUCCUCGGCCUCCCUCCUCCGCGGGAGGAUGGGCGUCUUGGACUCCCAGCCCUGUGCUCGCCGAGCUUCCAGCUGCCAGGGCGGUGGAAAGUCCUCCGCCCCACCGCGUCCUUAUAUGGGAGCGGUUGAGACCACGGCCUCUUGGGCUCACCUGCCUGGGUUUCAGUCCUAGCUCCACCACUUUCCAGCUGCGGGCUCUUAGGCAGAUUUUAUAAACCAGAGCAGCUGCCUGAAGGUUUCCAAGAAAAAAUUCUGCACAGUUUCUAACCAGGGUGACAGUUCGCCUCCACAGGAAGUUGCUUUUAUUAAUUUUUUUAAUCUCUUUUUUUUUGUAAGGCUCCAUCUAUCGGUCAUCAGGCAGCACCUUCAGCCUUGUGGGCUGUUUUUUGUUCUUCCCCUCCAUUUGCCUGGAAUUCAUGAUGACAUCUAAACCGCAGUGGGCUUGCCCAACGCUGGGGCAAAGAUGGAACUACUGAAAAGUGGGUCACUCAAGUCGCCUGUGCAGAAGAAUCCCAAAUAAUUUAUGGAGAUACUUCUCCCUCCAGGAGGUGGAACAUGACUCCCUGCCCCUGAAGUGAGAGCUAUGCAUAAUGAUUUCUUUGCAUGGAGUACAGUAUGGAAGGGGGCAGGGGAGAGGAACUUCGCAGCGAAGAAACCUGACAAACACUGGCUCAGCCAGAUGGUUUAAGUCAACAUCAAACAGCGAUAAGUCAUGUCUGUAGCACGGACCCUUGAUACAAUGUGAUGAGAACAGCACAUUACCUCCAUGGUCUCCUUCCAAAGACAUUAGGUGAAAACUAAUAAAAUCCAAAUAAACUGUGGAAUUUUGUUAAUGCUAAUGUACCAGGGUUGGUGCCUUACUUGUGAAAGAUGUACCACAAUAAUUUAACAGUAGGAGAAACUGGGUCAGGGGUGAGUGGCAACUCUGUACUAUCUUCAUAACUUUCUUGUACAUCUAAAACUAUUCUAAAAUACAAAGCUUAUUUUUU